CCUUCCUUGUCACGUGACUCUGUGUUGACGGAAAUGCUUCAGGAAUGGCGAGAAACGAAUAGAAGCAGUUUGGAAAACUGAAUCGACUGUCGCUCCAGAAAGAGAGACAGUCGCUGUUAUCUCACUACCCAGACAGGAAGAUAGAUGAUUUCCGUCAGCAUCAUGAUGAACUGGAGACCCAAUAAAAAUGUUUCCUAAAGAAACUAUGCUCCCUGUACCCUACCUGCAAAUGCAAGCCUUGGAAAACUCGAGCAUUUGCCAAGAGGAGGCAGGAUUCAGUCCGCAAUCAAAACACCUGUCAGUUUAUGCUAUUAUAGUCCCAGUCUUUGUUUGACAAUGCCAAAAUUGUAUAUUUAAAGGAGUAGUUCACUCAAAAAUGAACAUUUGUUGAAAAUUUACUCACUCUUAGGCCAUCCAAAAUGUAGAUGAGUUUGUUUCUUCAACAGAUUUUGAGAAAUUUAGCAUUACAUCAGUUGCUCACCAAUGGAUACACCGCAGUGAAUGGGUGUCGUCAGAAUGAGAGUCCAAACAGCUGAUAUAAACAGUAAUCCACAAGUAGUCCAGUCCAUCGGUUUACACCUUGUGAAGUGAAAAGCUGCGUGUUUGUAAGAAAGAAAUCCAUCACUAAGGCGUUUUAACUUUAACCUCUUGCUUCUAGCUAAAAUGUGAGUCCAUAAUCCAUAAUAACACUUCUUCCAGUGAAAAGGUCCAUCCCCUGUUGUCCUCUCAUCCCAAAAUCGUCCUUCAAAUUUCUUUAGAACUACAGCUGGGCGAUAACGAUAAUUAUCGAAAUAUAAAUUUCCUUGAUAAAACGAUAACAGUAUUUCGUUAAAUGUUUGAUAUAAUGUUUAU